rnacentral:ribozyme from 11 species
GUUUUUUUUUUUUUUUUUUUUUUUUUUCUUUUUUUUUUUUCAGGU